CCUACGGGAGGCAGCAGUGGGGAAUAUUGCACAAUGGGGGAAACCCUGAUGCAGCGACGCCGCGUGAAGGAAGAAGUAUUUCGGUAUGUAAACUUCUAUCAGCAGGGAAGAAAAUGACGGUACCUGACUAAGAAGCCCCGGCUAACUACGUGCCAGCAGCCGCGGUAAUACGUAGGGGGCAAGCGUUAUCCGGAUUUACUGGGUGUAAAGGGAGCGUAGGCGGUUUAGCAAGUCAGAAGUGAAAGCCCGGGGCUCAACUCCGGGACUGCUUUUGAAACUGUGGAACUAGAGUGCAGGAGAGGUAAGUGGAAUUCCUAGUGUAGCGGUGAAAUGCGUAGAUAUUAGGAGGAACACCAGUGGCGAAGGCGGCUUACUGGACUGUAAAUGACGCUGAGGCUCGAAAGCGUGGGGAGCAAACAGGAUUAGAUACCCCAGUAGUC
rnacentral:rRNA from 1 species